GAUGAACGCUGGCGGCGUGCCUAAUACAUGCAAGUCGAGCGAACAGACGAGGAGCUUGCUCCUCUGACGUUAGCGGCGGACGGGUGAGUAACACGUGGAUAACCUACCUAUAAGACUGGGAUAACUUCGGGAAACCGGAGCUAAUACCGGAUAAUAUAUUGAACCGCAUGGUUCAAUAGUGAUAGACCGAUUUGAUGUCACUUAUUGAUGGAUCCGCGCCGCAUUAGCUAGUUGGUAAGGUAACGGCUUACCAAGGCAACGAUGCGUAGCCGACCUGAGAGGGUGAUCGGCCACACUGGAACUGAGACACGGUCCAGACUCCUACGGGAGGCAGCAGUAGGGAAUCUUCCACAAUGGGCGAAAGCCUGACGGAGCAACGCCGCGUGAGUGAUGAAGGUCUUCGGAUCGUAAAACUCUGUUAUUAGGGAAGAACAAAUGUGUAAGUAACUAUGCACGUCUUGACGGUACCUAAUCAGAAAGCCACGGCUAACUACGUG
rnacentral:rRNA from 1 species